AAAAGUGACUUUGUCCCAGCCACCACCACAGAAUUGAUCCCCACCACCACCGAAUCCGGCCACCAGACCCCCGAACCACUACUACAAAUUCUAUUUGUUUGCGCGUUUGAGAUUUAAAACUGCAAUGGCUCUUUAGCCCUCUUUCAUUCUCACAAAUCUUACAGAGCCUCCUCCUUCUUGAGUUUUUUUUUUUUUUUUUUUCUUCAGGCCCGUCGGCGACAACCCUCUUCCUCCGGUUCUAAUCUUUUAACCCCAUUUUCGAUCUUCUUUCUUCAUCCACAUUUUUAGUGGAACCAUGUCCAACACUGAUCCGCAUUCACCCUCGUAUUCAACUGGAACCACACCAACGGUUCCAAAAUUCCGGGUCGGGCUGACCUUUUGGCUAGCCAUGGUUCACCCUGGAAGAAGGGUCGGUUGCUUGGUGGUGGCACGUAUGGACGUGUUUUUCUUGGUUUCAACAGUGAAAGUGGAGAAAUGUGUGCGAUCAAGGAGAUGACUUUAAUCUAAGAUGAUGCAAAGUCUAAUUAAUGUGCCCAAGAGCUAGGGUAGGUAAGUCUUUUCACUACACCAUUUAUAUUUAUAAGGUUUUUUUU